AGAGUUUGAUUCUAGCUCAGGGUGAACGCUGGAAAUGUGGAUACUGGCAUGCAAGUCAAGGGGGCCUUCGGGCAACCGGCGAACGGCUUAGUAACACGUAGAUACAUACCUUAAAGUGGGGCAUAGCCAGUCGAAAGAUUGGGUAAUUUCCCAUAGUUCCCGCAAGGGUAAAGACGCAAGUCGCUUUAAGAAUGGUCUGCGGUCUAUCAGCUAGUUGGUAGGGUAAAAGCCUACCAAGGCUAUGACGGAUGGGGGGCGUGAGAGCGCGACCCCCAAGAAUGGCACUGCGAUACGGGCCAUACUCCUACGGGAGGCUGCAGUCGAGAAUCUUCCGCAAUGGACGAAAGUCUGACGGAGCGACAUUUCGUGAACGAUGACGCUCUUCGGGGUGUAAAGUUCUUUUAUAGGGGAAAAAGUUAUUGAUUGUACCCUAUGAAUAAGAGGAUCCUAAUUCUGUGCCAGCAGGAGCGGUAAUACAGAAUCCUCGAGCGUUACCCGGAUUUAUUGGGCGUAAAGGGUCUGUAGGUGGCAACGUAAGUUGAAAGUUAAACCUCAUCGGCUUAACCUUUGAGCUGUUUUCAAUACUGCGUAGCUAAGAGGGCGUUAGGGGCUAACGGAACCGACGGAGUAGGGGUGAAAUCCGUUGAUAUCGUCGGGAACACCAAAAGCGAAGGCAGUUAGCUAGGACGACCCUGACACUGAGAGACGAAAGCGUGGGUAGCAAAAAGGAUUAGAUACCCUUGUAGUCCACGCUGUAAACGAUGAAUACUGGCUAUUUGAAGUGUCGACCCUUCAAGUGGCGAAGCUAACGCGUUAAGUAUUCCGCCUGGGAAGUACGGCCGCAAGGCUAAAACUCAAAGAAAUAGACGGGGACUCACACAAGCGGUGGAUCAUGUGGCUUAAUUCGAUAACAAACGGAGAACCUUACCAGGUCUAGAAAUCCAGACGAAAGCCCUAAGAAACUAGGGCCCGCCACAAGCCGGCUGGACAGGUGUUGCAUGGUUGUCGUCAGUUCGUGUCUUGAGAUGUACCGUUAAUUCGGGUAACGAACGUAACCCUUGCCCUGUGUUUUAAAUGUCACAGGGGACUGCCCGAGAUAAUUGGGAGGAAGGCGAGGAUAACGCCAAAUCAGCAUGACCCUUGAUGACCUGGGCUGCACACAUGAUACAAUGGCCGGUACAAUGGGUAAAACCGCAAGGUGGAAAUUAAUCCCAUCAAAGCCGGUCUCAGUUCGGAUUGAGGUCUGAAACUCGACCUCAUGAAGCUGGAAUCGCUAGUAAUCGCCAAUCAGCUAUGUGGCGAUGAAUACGUUCCUGAGUCUUGUACUCACCGCCCGUCAAGCCAAGCAAGUUGGGAAUACCCGAAGCGCCAGCAAUGGUGUUAAGGUAGAUUCAAUGAGAGGGGCUAAGUCGUAACAAGGCA
rnacentral:rRNA from 1 species